AUCAAUGUUGCCAAUUAAAUCUACUAACUUGUGUUCAAUUUAUUUAACCACGCAGUGUAGUUUUUCCCCUCCAUAGCCUUUUUAAACCUCCCAUGGAACUAAUAUCAUGCAGAACCUAUUCUGUAACAUGCUGAUCUGAAGAUUUUCCAAAUGUGUAACUUACUUAAGUUUGUGGAGGCAUCAGAUCCCUUUGGGCAUGUGAUGUAUCUUGCAAGAAGUUGCUGUGGCCAAGUUCAAAAAGGUUGUUGCCUGUGUUCUCCUCUGCUUCUUCAAAUCUCACCACCAACAGAAACCAAUUACUGGCUAAAAGAAAACAUUCCCUCAUAAAGGGAAUAAGAAAAUGUCAUGGCUUAAAGAAGAAACUUUUAAGAUCACUUGCUGUUAAAUGAUAAUCAAAAUGAGAGAUCAGGGAUAAGGAUGGACAAAAAUAUUCCAUCUGCAACAAAGCCAAAGUUCUUGGAUAGAGGGUCUCACCAUGUCAGCAUGUGGAACAUGUACCAGAGAACUCCAAGAAUGAGGAUGUGCCUAAUACCAUGUUGCAUAUUUACAGGCUACCAGUAAGUGACACAAUCCUCUCUAUUGAUGAGGGGCAGCAGCAGAGAGCCACAGCUCCCAGUCAACCACAUGAUGAAAAAGCUGGUUUACAUUUUCCUUAGGCAAUGUUUUUAAUAGUGAAGAUUGUCAUCUUCAAUCUCUAUGUUCAGCCAAGUUGAAAUGAGCCCUCCUGAGACCUGAAGCAUUCCACCGUGUUACAGGGAGAAGCCGCACCAGACUCCUGCUGUAGUAGGAAGAAGCAGGUGGUCUUUUGCCUUGGCACAGUCCCUACUGCCUGAGAGGUCUCCCCAGCUACUUCCAUGGCUCACAGAUACAAUUCCUUUAGAAUGGAACUGUAACAAUUAUCAAGUGGAAGAAGUGGCAGGGGGUGACAAAGAGUCACAUUAUGAGAUAUUGUCAGAAACAUUUCAUCUCUGUGGCUUCUGCAUAGACUCCUGCAAGCAUUCUGGGCAAGGAGAACAAGAGAACCCUGGCCAGCUCAAUAUUACCAAGACCUCUUCUUGACAAACAUCUAAAAACUGUGGACUGUACUAGGAAAAGACUAGCUUUAUAUAUACAUAUUUAAUAUAUACACUGAUCUCUGUUGUGCUUCAAAAGCAUCCAUCUUUCUCAUAUAACUUAGCAUUUCAAAACACUAUUUUUUAAAAAAAGAUGGAGGGGGGGCCGCCAGUCAGUUUAAGGAAUGGACAAUUUGAAAUCUCCCCUGAUAUUUUAACAUGCCUCUUUUGGAAACUGCACACAAUUGCAAUCAGAGCAAACAAAGACAAUUUGCUUUUACAAUGAAGUAGCUUAAUGCUUUCCUUAAAGGUGUAACUUGAUUAAUUUCUUUUAUGAGGCUAAGCAGGAUGAUCCAAGAAGAAAAAUGUCAUGUAGCCACAGAGUAUUAUGAUUCAUUAUAAUAAAGGCCAGGAUAAUAACAACCUAAUAAUAGAAUACGAAUAGACUUUAAAGCAACAAUGCAAUGGAAUUUAUAGAAAGCAGCAAGCAGCUCUAAAGAAAAAUAGGAUGGGGACUUCUCAUGGCAAAAAAAAAAAAAAAUGAAUCUUGUUUGUCUCAGGAAAAAUGAAAUUCAAACUGGCUAUCUUUAAGUCUUUUUUCCAGCUUUACAUUUACCUUGGCAAGAGAAGCUCUGGUCUACAGAACACCAGUGUCCUUUCCCAAUGGAUGAAGGAAGAAGUUACUCCUAUCAGCUUUUGUUUAAUGUUAUAAAUCUGACUUACUUGUCAGCAUCAUGAUUCAUAAUAGCAAACAGAGAGAGUGUGAAGCCAGCAUUUCUGUGGGUUGGGAAUAGAUUAGAGUAUUUAGACAGCUUUCAUGUCCAGUCUCAGCCAGUCUUGCUGGACAUAAAAGAAACUUCAGAAAAUUCUCCAGAUCUACUACAGACUCAGAGUAAGAUCCAGGGAGAUGAAUCAUU